UCUUUGACAUCCAUCUUAGCAAUUUUUUUAUUGGAUUUGUCUCCUCAGGAGAGGGAAACAAAAGUAAAAAUAAACAAAUGGGAUUACAUGACACUAAUAAGCUUUUGCACAGUGAAGGAAACUAUCAAAAAAACAAAAAGGCAGUCUACUGAAUGGGAGAAGGUAUUUGCAAAUCAUAUCACCAAUAGGGAGUUCAAAACCAAAAUAUACAAAGAACUCAUACAACUCAGUGUUAAAAAAAAAACCAGAAAACUCAAUUAAAAAGUGGGCAGAGGGCUUCCCUGGUGGUGCAGUGGUUGAGAAUCUGCCUGCCAAUGCAGGGGACACAGGUUCGAGCUGUGGUCUGGGAAGUUCCCACAUGCUGCGGAGCAACUGGGCCCGUGAGCCACAGCUACUGAGCCUGCGCGUCUGGAGCCUGUGAUCCGCAACAAGAGAGGCCGCGACAGUGAGAGGCCCACGCACCGCGAAGAAGAGUGGCCCCCGCUCACCGCAACUAGAGAAAGCCCUCGCACAGAAAUGAAGACCCAACACAGCCAAAUAAAUUAAUUAAUUAAUUAAAAAAAAAAAAAAGUGGGCAGAGAACCUGAACAGACAUUUUCCCAAAGAAGACAUACAGAUGGCCAACAGACACGUGAAUAGAUGUUCAACAUCACUGAUCAUCAGGGAAAUGCAAAUCACAUUCACAUUGAGACAUCACUUCACAUCUUUCAGAAUGGCUAUAAUCAAAAUGACAACAAAUAUCAAAUGUUGGCAAGGAUGGAGAAAAGGAACUUUCGUGCACUGUUGGUGGGAUUAUAAAUUGGUGCAGCCACUGUGAAAAAUAGUAUGGAGCCUGCUCAAAAAAUUAAAAAUAGAACUGCCAUAUGAUCCAGGAAUUUCACUUCUGGAUAUUGACCUGAAAAAAACAAAGCACUAAUUUGAAAAGCUUUUUUACCCUUAUGUUCACUGUCACAUUAUUUACAACAGCCAAGAUAUGAAAGCAAUGUAAGUGCCCACUGACAGAAAAAUGGAUAAAGAUGUGGUAUGUAUGUAUGUAUGAACGUAUGUAUGUAUACAUAGCUCUACAUAUAUACACAAUGGAAUAGUACUCAUCCAUAAAAAAGAAUGAAAUCUUGCCAUUUGUGGCAAUAUGGAUGGAUCUAGAAAGCAUCAUGCUAAGUGAAACAAGUCAGACAGAGAAAGACAAACACUGUAUGAUCUCACUUAUAUGUGGAAUCUAAAAACACAACAAACGAACAGAACAAAAUGAAAACAGACUCACAGAAACAGACAACAAACUGGUGGUUGCCAGAGGGGAAGGGGUGGAGUAGGUGAAUGAAAUAGGUGAAGGGGAUUAAGAGGUACAAAACUUCAGUUAUAUAAUAAGUCACGGGGAUGGAAUAUACAGCAUAAGGAAUAUGGUCAAUUAUACUGUAAUUACUUUUUAUGGGGACAGAGGGUUACUAGACGUAUUGUGUACACCUGAAACUAACCUAAUAUUGUAUGUCAAUUAUAUUUCAGUAAAAAAACAAGGGAAUCCAUUUAUGAGAUUGUUUUUUGUAACAUGUCAUCUUACUCAGUGGAAAUUUUUAGUAGAGUACUAGUCCGUAAUAAACAUUUGGGUUCUAGAAAUCCUGACUCAUCUAACAGGUAGAUACUCUAAGGGGUUGAAAAAUGAUGAUGUGGACUUUCUUUCCACUCAGUUGAAUCACUUUCAAACUUAGUAUUUUAUAUUUUACAGCCACAGAUCACUUCUCAGCCAUAAGAGUAAUUAGUAACAAAGUUUUUCUGCUUACCAUAGUUUUGAGAAUGGAGAAGCUGGAAGUGGGGCAACACACCUUUUCCUAUCAUAGAUGCCUUACUGAGUUCUCAGAACCUGAUUCUGGGUACAACAAUCAAUGCUGCCAUAUUUUCAAUUUUCCCCAUUCCUUUAAAGAACUCUGCAGCUCUGUGUUGGGGCAGUAAAUGAAUUCACAGCAAUGAGACAACAAAAAGAAUCAUUCAUGCACAUUCAAAUGUGAAUUUAAUGUGAAUGUAGGCUUCACCUUAUAUGUGGUUGCAAAAUCCCUAUCAGCAGAAUUUUGUUAGUAGAUUUCAUUACACUUUGUGUGCUGUUAGAGUUGAUGACAGUCCUUUGCCUAUGGCCAUGACUUAGAGGGAGACGUUUAUGUAUCUGCUGCUUCUGAUGACAUGUCCUAGAAGACUUUCUGAUAACUCAUUCUGGUUACUUUCUACUUUUUAUUGAUAACAAAUAAUAAUAAGAUUCCUCCCAGGUACAUCUACAUUUUAAUAGGAGAUGCCAUAAAGGGCUUCAGGAUUCAAAAACAAGCACCCAAAAUAGCAGAGGAUGAUCAGAUCAGAUCAGAUGCAAGUUUGUCAGAAGGACUUUUCUGACUCUUUCUCCAAUCACAUCAAAGAGAUUUCUCAAUGUCACAUGGGAAGUCACUUAUUUUGUCACUUUAAGAACAGACUACAAUGAUGGGCCCCCAGUUCGUCUGCACAAUCCUUUGAUGUGGUUGGCAGUUUGUUUUCUUUCUUUUUUCCACUGUGCUGACAUAGCAUCAUAGAAAUCAAAGGAGUGGAAUCCAAUAGUAGGGAUUCAGACCUAGGACAAACCCAAUGGGAGUAACUUUUUGAAGGUGAAUCAGUAAUUGACCAAAUUGCCAAAGUUUGUCUUCUGUUAUCUGCCUUGAAUCAUCCUUGUAUAAAACAGAAUGAGAACAAAAUAGCCCUUACUUUCAGGUCUUGGUGUUUGCAGUAGAAUUUAUGAAACAGCCCUCCAAACCUUAUGAACAGGAACUUGUACAGGCUUAGAAUUUGUAAAAUUCUAUACAUUCGACUCUUUUCUUCUUCCUUAACCUGACAUACAAGGUAAGAAACGGUACAUAAAACGUCAACAUGAAGAAAUGGCAACAUCAUUUAUUAAGAUUUCUAUGUUGGGAGAAAAGACAUAAAGUAUUCCUGAUCAAAAAUAUUAUUGAAUCUGUUGCUACACAUUAGGUGUCUUCUCACUUUGGCUUUAAAUAUUCGAUUUAGAGGAUCAGAGUACUAUUCAGUUGUCCAAAGUGAUGACCUGUUCAGCAAUCCCUGUUAAAACUAACACCAUCUUCACUCCCUGCCCAGGAUCCCAGGUUGAGAUUUAACCCUGUGUAGGAGUAGGUGACUUGUGUUAGUUACCUACUACUACAUAACAAAUAACGCCAAAAUUCAGUGGCUUAAACAAUACAGAGACAGCAGAAGCAAGAAGAACUACAAUCCUGCAGCCUGUGGAACACAAACCACAUUCACAGAAAGACAGACAAGAUGAAAAGGCAGAGGGCUACGUACCAGAUGAAGGAAAAAGAUAAAACCCCAGAAAAACAACUAAAUGAGGUGAAGAUAGGAAAACUUCAAGAAAAAAGAAUUCAGAAUAAUGAUAGUGAAGAUAAUCCAGGACAUUGGAAAAAGAAUGGAGGCCAAGAUUGAGAAGAUGCAAGAAAUGUUUUUGUUAAAGAGCUGGAAGAAUUAAAGAAUAAACAAACAGAGAUGAACAAUACAAUAACUGAAAUGAAAAAUACACUAGAAGGAAUCAAUAGUAGAAUAACUGAGGCAGAAGAACGGAUAAGUGACCUGGAAGACAGAAUGGUGGAAUUCACUGCUGUGGAACAGAAUAAAGAAAAAAGAAUAAAAAGAAAUGAAGACAGCCUAAGUGACCUCUGGGACAACAUUAAUCGCAACAACAUUCACGUUAUAUGGGUCCCAGAAGGAGAAGGCGAGAGAAAGGACCCGAGAAAAUAUCUGAAGAGAUUAGAGUCAAAACCUUCCCUAACAUGGGAAAGGAAAUAGCCACCCAGGUCCAGGAAGCACAGAGAGUCCCAGGAAGGACAAACCCAAGGAGAAACAUGCCAAGACACAUAGUAAUCAAACUGACAAAAAUUAAAGACAAAGAAAAAUUAUUGAAAGCAACAAGGGAAAAACAACAAAUAACAUACAAAGGAACUCCCAUAAGGAUAACAGCUGAUUUCUCAGCAGAAACUCUACAAGCCAGAAGGGAGUGGCAUGAUAUACUUAAAGUGAUGAAAGGGAAGAAACUACAAAGAAGAUUACUCUACCCAGCAAGGAUCUCAUUCAGAUUUGAUGGAGAAAUCAAAAGCUUUACAGACAAGCCAAAGUUAAGAGAAUUCAGCAUCACCAAACCAGCUAGAAAACAAAUGCUAAAGGAAGUUCUCUAACUGGGAAACACAAGAGAAGAAAAGGACCUACAAAAACAAACCCAUAACAAUUAAGAAAAUGGUAAUAGGAACAUACAUAUCGAUAAUUACCUUAAACGUGACUGGAUUAAAUGCUCCAGCCAAAAGACACAGUCUUGCUGAGUGGGUACAAAAAUAAGACCCAUAGAUACGCUGUCUACAAGAGACCCACUUCAGACCUAGGGACACAUACAGACUGAAAGUGAGGGAAUGGAAAAAGAUAUUCCAUGCAAAUGGAAAUCAAAAGAAAGCUGGAGUGGCAAUACUCAUACCAGAUAAAAUAGACUUUAAAAUAAAUAAUGUUACAAAAGACAAGGAAGGACACUACAUAAUGAUCAAGGGAUCAAUCCAAGAAGAUAUAGCAAUUAUAAAUAUAUAUGCACCCAACAUAGGAGUACCUCAAUAAAUAAGGCAACUGCUAACAGUUAUGAAAGAGGAAAUCGACAGUAACAUAAUAAUAGUGGGGGAUUUUAACACCUCACUUACACCAAUGGACAGAUCAUCCAAACAGAAAAUUAAUAAGGAAACACAGGCUUUAAAUGACACAAUAGACCAGAUAGAGUUAACUGAUAUUUAUAGGACAUUCCAUCCAAAAACAGCAGAUUACACUUUCUUCUCAAGUGCACACAGAACAUUCUCCAGGAUAGAUCACAUUUUGGGUCACAAACCAAGCUUCAGUAAAUUUAAGAAAACUGAAAUCAUAUCCAGUAUCUUUUCUGACCAUAAUGCUAUGAGAUUAGAACUCAAUUACAGGGAAGAAAACAUAAAAAACACAAACACAUGGAGGCUAAACAAUACAUUCCUAAAUAACCAAGAGAUCACUGAAGAAAUCAAAGAGGAAAUGAAAAAAUACCUAGAGACAAAUUACAACGAAAACACGAUGAUCCAAAACCUAUGGGAUGCAGCAAAAGCAGUUCUAAGAGGGAAGUUUAUAGCAAUACAAGCCUACCUCAAGAAACAAGAAAAAUCUCAAGUAAAUAAUCUAACCUUACACAUACAGGAACUAGAGAAAGAAGAAGAAACAAAACCCAACGUUAGUAGAAGGAAAGGAAUCAUAAAGAUCAGAGCAGAAAUAAAUGGAAGAGAAACAAAGAAAACAAUAGCCAAGAUCAAUAAAACUAAAAGCUGGUUCUUUGAGAAGAUAAACAAAAUUGAUAAACCAUAGGCCAGACUCACCAAGAAAAAGAGGGAGAGGACUCAUAUCAAUAAAAUUAGAAAUGAAAAAGGAGAAGUUACAACAGACACCGCAGAAAUACAAAGCAACCUAAGAGACUACUACAAGCAACUCUAUGCCAAUAAAAUGGACAAUGUGGAAAAAGUGGACAAAUUCUUAGAAAGGUAUAACCUUCCAAGACUGAACAAGGAAGAAACAGAAAAUAUGAACAGACCAAUCACAAGUAAUGAAAUUGAAACUGUGAUUAAAAUUCUUCCAAGAAACAAAAAGUCCAGGACUAGAUGGCUUCACAGGUGAAUUCUAUCAAAUAUUUAGAGAAGAGCUAACACCCAUCCUUCUCAAACUCUUCCAAAAAAUUGCAGAGGAAGGAACACUCCCAAACUCAUUCUAUGAGGCCACCAUCACCCUGAUACCAAAACCAGAUAAAGAUACUACAAAAAAAGAAAAUUACAGACCAAUAUCACUGAUGAAUAUAGAUGUAAAAAUCCUCAACAAAAUACUAGCAAACAGAAUCCAACAACACAUUAAAAGGAUCAUACACCAUGAUCAAGUGGGAUUUAUCCCAGGGAUGCAAGGAUUCUUCAAUAUAUGCAAAUCAAUCAAUGUGAUACACCAUAUUAACAAAUUGAGGAGUAAAAAAAAAGAAAA